rnacentral:rRNA from 1 species
GUGAGGAAUAUUGCCCAAUGGAGGCAACUCUGACGCAGCCAUGCCGCGUGCAGGAAGAAGGCGCUACGCGUUGUAAACUGCUUUUAACCGGGAAGAAACCCCAGGACGUGUCCUGGGUUGACGGUACCGGAGGAAUAAGCACCGGCUAACUUCGUGCCAGCAGCCGCGGUAAUACGAAGGGUGCAAGCGUUAUCCGGAUUCAUUGGGUUUAAAGGGUGCGUAGGCGGAGCGUUAAGUCAGUGGUGAAAUCCUGCAGCUUAACUGUAGACUUGCCAUUGAUACUGGCGCUCUUGAGUGCGCUUGAAGUGGGCGGAAUGUGCCGUGUAGCGGUGAAAUGCUUAGAUAUGGCACAGAACACCAAUUGCGAAGGCAGCUCACUAAGGCGAUACUGACGCUGAGGCACGAAAGCGUGGGGAUCGAACAGGAUUAGAAACCCGGGUAGUCC